GGCCAGGGAUGUGCUCGCGGCCUAUCAGCUUGAUGGUGAGGUAAUGGCUCACCAUGGCUUCGACGGGUAGCCGCCUGAGAGGGUGACCGGUCACACUGGGACUGAGACACGGCCCAGACUCCUACGGGAGGCAGCAGUGGGGAAUAUUGGACAAUGGGCGGAAGCCUGAUCCAGCAACGCCGCGUGAGGGAUGACGGCCUUCGGGUUGUAAACCUCUUUCAGUACCGACGAAGCGCAAGUGACGGUAGGUACAGAAGAAGCACCGGCCAACUACGUGCCAGCAGCCGCGGUAAUACGUAGGGUGCGAGCGUUGUCCGGAAUUAUUGGGCGUAAAGGGCUCGUAGGCGGUUUGUCGCGUCGGGAGUGAAAACGCCGUGCUUAACACGGCGCUUGCUUUCGAUACGGGCAGACUAGAGGUAUUCAGGGGAGAACGGAAUUCCUGGUGUAGCGGUGAAAUGCGCAGAUAUCAGGAGGAACACCGGUGGCGAAGGCGGUUCUCUGGGAAUAUCCUGACGCUGAGGAGCGAAAGUGUGGGGAGCGAACAGGAUUAGAUACCCUGGUAGUCCACACCGUAAACGUUGGGCGCUAGGUGUGGGGUCCAUUCCACGGAUUCC
rnacentral:rRNA from 1 species